GCGUUUCUGAUUCGAAGAGUCCCCCGUGCGAUCAUAUAAUUUGAAAGCGAGAAGCCGGACAAGCACAGACUGCCCUUUCGGAAUCACGAGAAUUCGUCUGAGAAAACACAGCCAUGAAUGCAUUCCUGGGCAUAAUGUUCACUGUGUUCACGUGGAAGUGCUCUUCUAGCGAACGGUGCCCGAAUUCAUUAUAUGUGGAAUGGUGCCCAUCUCUUAAAGAUGCUUCAAUGAACCCCUACAUAUUGUUCGGGGAAAAUGACCCUGAAGACCCCGGAGGAUCCUGCGCAAUCACGUGGUGUCCGAAGGUGAAAGAUUCAUGCUGCAACACAUUUAUUUGUCAGGGCGGAUUAGAUCCAGAGCUACUGGAACAGGCGUCAGAAAAAAAGAUUCAAACUACAAUUGAACCAAUAGCGACUACGACGAAGGCAGAAACCACAGCAGCUCCAGCAAAACCUGUGCCAACUACAAGGCGUCCAGUGCAUUUCACGGGUUGGGU